rnacentral:rRNA from 1 species
UACGAAGGGGGCUAGCGUUGCUCGGAAUCACUGGGCGUAAAGCGCACGUAGGCGGCUUUUUAAGUCAGGGGUGAAAUCCUGGAGCUCAACUCCAGAACUGCCUUUGAUACUGAGAAGCUUGAGUUCGGGAGAGGUGAGUGGAACUGCGAGUGUAGAGGUGAAAUUCGUAGAUAUUCGCAAGAACACCAGUGGCGAAGGCGGCUCUCUGGACCGACACUGACGCUGAGGCGCGAAAGCGUGGGGAGCAAACAGG